rnacentral:rRNA from 1 species
GCUAGUAAUCGCGGAUCAGCAUGCCGCGGUGAAUACGUUCCCGGGCCUUGUACACACCGCCCGUCACACCAUGAGAGUUGGCAACACCCGAAGUCAGUAGGCUAACGCAAGAGGCCGCUGGCCGAAGGUGGGGUUGACGAUUGGGGUGAAGUCGUAACAAGGUAGC